rnacentral:rRNA from 1 species
AUUGAACGCUGGCGGCAGGCCUAACACAUGCAAGUCGAACGAGUGGCGGACGGGUGAGUAAUGUCUGGGAAACUGCCUGCUGGAGGGGGAUAACUACUGGAAACGGUAGCUAAUACCGCAUACCAUCGGAUGUGCCCAGAUGGGAUUAGCUAGUAGGUGGGGUAACGGCUCACCUAGGCGACGAUCCCUAGCUGGUCUGAGAGGAUGACCAGCCACACUGGAACGGAGACACGGUCCAGACUCUGACGGGAGGAAGCAGGGGGGAAUAUUGCCCAAGGGGCGAAAGCCUGAUGCAGCAAUGCCGCGUGUAUGAAGAAGGCCUUCGGGUUGUAAAGUACUUUCAGCGGGGAGGCGUUACCCGCAGAAGAAGCACCGGCUAACUCCGUGCCAGCAGCCGCGGUAAUUC